AUAUCUUUCUGUACGGGAAGGAUGAGAAGCUUCGACUAAGGUUCGAUUCGAGCGCAGCGAGAAAGCGUUGCC
rnacentral:sRNA from 2 species